GCUGCUCCACACACCCGGAGAAGGAGUGGGGGGGGGGUGAGAACAGGGUAGAAGAAAUGAAUGCAUCUCCAGCAAGAAAGAGGGCUGUUAGAAGGAGAGGGGGGCCUCCUGGUGAUGAGAGGAGGUAUUUAUGGAGAUGCUAAACAGAUCACACCCUCUGAGGAUGGAGCCUAGGAAGACCCCAUGGCCCUGUUGAUCUCGUUACUCUGUGUCUUGUCAGCAGAUCU